rnacentral:rRNA from 1 species
AUGAAGGGCGGCGGAGCCAUCUGGAGCGGUGGCGGGGGCGGCGGCGGGCUGAUGCGGACGCGACUGCGGCUCCCCGUGGUGCUCCUCUCCUGCUCCCUCUUCUUCCUCACCGGCUUCCUCAGCUCCCUCCUCUUCACCUAG